rnacentral:tRNA from 1 species
GCUGUGGCUGGGGCUCAGUGGCAGAGCACUUGCCUAGCAUGUGUGAGGCACUGGGUUCGAGUCUCAACACUGCA